GGGUGGUCUUACAAUGCAGUCGACGGAGGAUGACGGUGAAGAGAUUCGGUCAAUCAUGUGCAUCUUUAGUGGCGGACGGGUGAGUAACGCGUGGGUAACCUGCCUUACACAGGGGGAUAACACUUAGAAAUAGGUGCUAAUACCGCAUGAGCGCACAGGACCGCAUGGUCGAGUGUGAAAAACUGAGGUGGUGUAAGAUGGACCCGCGUCUGAUUAGCUAGUUGGUGAGGUAACGGCCCACCAAGGCGACGAUCAGUAGCCGGCCUGAGAGGGUGGACGGCCACAUUGGGACUGAGACACGGCCCAAACUCCUACGGGAGGCAGCAGUGGGGGAUAUUGGACAAUGGGGGGAACCCUGAUCCAGCGACGCCGCGUGAGUGAAGAAGUAUCUCGGUAUGUAAAGCUCUAUCAGCAGGGAAGAAGAAAUGACGGUACCUGAGUAAGAAGCCCCGGCUAACUACGUGCCAGCAGCCGCGGUAAUACGUAGGGGGCAAGCGUUAUCCGGAAUUACUGGGUGUAAAGGGAGCGUAGACGGUGAUGUAAGUCUGGAGUGAAAGGCGGGGGCCCAACCCCCGGACUGCUCUGGANACUAUGUGACUGGAGUGCAGGAGAGGUGAGCGGAAUUCCUAGUGUAGCGGUGAAAUGCGUAGAUAUUAGGAGGAACACCAGUGGCGAAGGCGGCUCACUGGACUGUAACUGGACGUUGAAGCUCGAAAGCGUUGGGAGCAAACAGGAUAAAUUACCUGGUAG
rnacentral:rRNA from 1 species